rnacentral:rRNA from 1 species
CUUUGAGAAGGAAAAGUGGGGGGCUCUUCGGCCCCCCCGUUAUUUCGAGCGGCCGAUGUCUGAUUAGCUAGUUGGUGGGGUAAGGGCCUACCAAGGCGACGAUCAGUAGCGGGUCUGAGAGGAUGAUCCGCCACACUGGGACUGAGACACGGCCCAGACUCCUACGGGAGGCAGCAGUGGGGAAUUUUGGACAAUGGGCGCAAGCCUGAUCCAGCCAUGCCGCGUGUCUGAAGAAGGGCUUCGGGUUGUAAAGGACUUUUGUUAGGGAAGAAAAGGAUAGUGUUAAUACCAUUAUCUGCUGACGGACCAAAGAAUA